rnacentral:rRNA from 1 species
UUUGAACGCUGGCGGCAGGCUUAACACAUGCAAGUCGAGCGGGGGAAGGUAGCUUGCUACCGGACCUAGCGGCGGACGGGUGAGUAAUGCUUAGGAAUCUGCCUAUUAGUGGGGGACAACAUCUCGAAAGGGAUGCUAAUACCGCAUACGUCCUACGAGAGAAAGCAGGGGAUCUUCGGACCUUGCGCUAAUAGAUGAGCCUAAGUCGGAUUAGCUAGUUGGUGGGGUAAAGGCCUACCAAGGCGACGAUCUGUAGCGGGUCUGAGAGGAUGAUCCGCCACACUGGGACUGAGACACGGCCCAGACUCCUACGGGAGGCAGCAGUGGGGAAUAUUGGACAAUGGGGGGAACCCUGAUCCAGCCAUGCCGCGUGUGUGAAGAAGGCCUUAUGGUUGUAAAGCACUUUAAGCGAGGAGGAGGCUACUUUAGUUAAUACCUAGAGAUAGUGGACGUUACUCGCAGAAUAAGCACCGGCUAACUCUGUGCCAGCCGCCGCCGUAA